rnacentral:rRNA from 1 species
UACGGGGGGGCAAGCGUUGUUCGGAAUUACUGGGCGUAAAGGGCUUGUAGGUGGCCAACUAAGUCAGACGUGAAAUCCCUCAGCUUAACUGGGGAACUGCUUCUGAUACUGGAUGGCUUGAGUUUGGGAGAGGGAUGCGGAAUUCCAGGUGUAGCGGUGAAAUGCGUAGAUAUCUGGAGGAACACCGGUGGCGAAGGCGGCAUCCUGGACCAACACUGACGCUGAAAAGCGAAAGCCAGGGGAGCAAACGGG